rnacentral:piRNA from 1 species
UUUGAUGACCUGGAUCAAUUAUUCCUCCCA